UUAUUUUAAAAUUGUUAAUGGGCUGAUUGCGGUAACAUUUUCCCGCAUUUUAAAUAAAUUAUAGCAAAAGUGCAUUAGUUUAAAAGCCAGCAAAUUAUCAAUUAGUUUACUAACUAAACUCGUACUUUCAAGAUACACUCUGCACCUCCAAAGUUUGUAAUGAAUUUCAAAAUUAUCUUUUUUACUCUUGCAGUAUUAGCUGCAUGUUCUGAAAUUGUGUCUGCUGCUAGAAAAUUUACUGGAUAUUAUGUAAUUGGAACAAAAGACAAUUGUCCGGAAAAUUCGAAAUGGAAUGAUAAGGUAUUUCCAUGUCAACCAGGGUGUGUCGGAUUUUAUAUUUCGUGUGGACCUGAUCCUGAAUAUCGUAGUGCGUGUCAAUGCAAAGAGGGCUUAUUCAUCUCCCUGAAUAGAACAUCAUGUGUACCAAUUGAUGAAUGCCAAUAACGCCCGGAGUAAGUUAACCCUUACACAGACUAAGACAACAUAUUGGGUGAAGUGAUUAUAAUCAAUUUUCAAUCAGUAGAAUAAACUAUACAAUACUUAAAUAA